AGUGAACGCUGGCGGUAGGCCUAACACAUGCAAGUCGAACGGCAGCACAGUAAGAGCUUGCUCUUACGGGUGGCGAGUGGCGGACGGGUGAGGAAUACAUCGGAAUCUACUUUUUCGUGGGGGAUAACGUAGGGAAACUUACGCUAAUACCGCAUACGACCUACGGGUGAAAGCAGGGGAUCUUCGGACCUUGCGCGAUUGAAUGAGCCGAUGUCGGAUUAGCUAGUUGGCGGGGUAAAGGCCCACCAAGGCGACGAUCCGUAGCUGGUCUGAGAGGAUGAUCAGCCACACUGGAACUGAGACACGGUCCAGACUCCUACGGGAGGCAGCAGUGGGGAAUAUUGGACAAUGGGCGCAAGCCUGAUCCAGCCAUACCGCGUGGGUGAAGAAGGCCUUCGGGUUGUAAAGCCCUUUUGUUGGAAAGAAAAGCAGCAGGUUAAUACCCCGCUGUCCUGACGGUACCCAAAGAAUAAGCACCGGCUAACUUCGUG
rnacentral:rRNA from 1 species